UACACAAACUUCUCAAGCCGCCAGCAUCGUCACAACGUCUUUGCACAAUAUUUCAUGUUGUAUCUAAGGGCAGCAGUGAAAACUGCAAGAACAGGAAAGUUAGCAUGCCAUGAGUUAAAUAACAUCUGACGAAGAAUUAGUCAAUCGACUUGGUGAUAUCUCCAGUCAUGUCCAGGAGGUUAUGGCACAGCGUUAUUUUCGUCUCCUUCUUGUGCCUCCUGUUCAUUCCAACGAUUGAAUCGUUGGGGUCCACAAAGAUGGUAAAAUUGUUGCUGAGCCGGAAGAAGAGUCUCCUUCUGGGCAUGAUGCCAGACGACCCUUACAAAAAUAUGCCAUACAGGUGCUUCAACUCCACCUUCGUUGGGAUCGAUGGUGACUGGAUAUACCGGGAUGUUUUCUACAGAAAGAAGGAA